rnacentral:rRNA from 1 species
AGCUAUACUGCAAGUCGAGCGGACAGAAGGGAGCUUGCUCCCGGAUGUUAGCGGCGGACGGGUGAGUAACACGUGGGUAACCUGCCUGUAAGACUGGGAUAACUCCGGGAAACCGGAGCUAAUACCGGAUAGUUCCUUGAACCGCAUGGUUCAAGGAUGAAAGACGGUUUCGGCUGUCACUUACAGAUGGACCCGCGGCGCAUUAGCUAGUUGGUGAGGUAACGGCUCACCAAGGCGACGAUGCGUAGCCGACCUGAGAGGGUGAUCGGCCACACUGGGACUGAGACACGGCCCAGACUCCUACGGGAGGCAGCAGUAGGGAAUCUUCCGCAAUGGACGAAAGUCUGACGGAGCAACGCCGCGUGAGUGAUGAAGGUUUUCGGAUCGUAAAGCUCUGUUGUUAGGGAAGAACAAGUGCAAGAGUAACUGCUUGCACCUUGACGGUACCUAACCAGAAAGCCACGGCUAACUACGUGCCAGCAGCCGCGGUAAUACGUAGGUGGCAAGCGUUGUCCGGAAUUAUUGGGCGUAAAGGGCUCGCAGGCGGUUUCUUAAGUCUGAUGUGAAAGCCCCCGGCUCAACCGGGGAGGGUCAUUGGAAACUGGGAAACUUGAGUGCAGAAGAGGAGAGUGGAAUUCCACGUGUAGCGGUGAAAUGCGUAGAGAUGUGGAGGAACACCAGUGGCGAAGGCGACUCUCUGGUCUGUAACUGACGCUGAGGAGCGAAAGCGUGGGGAGCGAACAGGAUUAGAUACCCUGGUAGUCCACGCCGUAAACGAUGAGUGCUAAGUGUUAGGGGGUUUCCGCCCCUUAGUGCUGCAGCUAACGCAUUAAGCACUCCGCCUGGGGAGUACGGUCGCAAGACUGAAACUCAAAGGAAUUGACGGGGGCCCGCACAAGCGGUGGAGCAUGUGGUUUAAUUCGAAGCAACGCGAAGAACCUUACCAGGUCUUGACAUCCUCUGACAACCCUAGAGAUAGGGCUUUCCCUUCGGGGACAGAGUGACAGGUGGUGCAUGGUUGUCGUCAGCUCGUGUCGUGAGAUGUUGGGUUAAGUCCCGCAACGAGCGCACCCUUGAUCUUAUUUGCCACCAUCCAUUGGGCC